rnacentral:misc_RNA from 1 species
UAAUAAGUGUUUUAUGGCACUUUUUAAAUCCAUAUCCACCUUGUGUGCAAUGUCAGUCGAUCUUCUUCAUGGAGAUCGACCAAACAUCAACCUUUAUUUUAUAACUCUUUGUCUGAAAACUAUUAUGAAUAAACUAAUUCAAAAUA